ACUCUGCUGAAUGAUUCAUCGGAAUGAAACAUUUAUGACGUUGGAUCAAUAUUGCUAGAAAUUAUUGGGUGUACAAAUUGAAACACUAAUUAUCGGUCGCGUCACGGGAAGCAAUAUCCAACAACUAGCCUAACAUAACUCUACGUCAACUGUGCAGUAAUGUCUCGGCACAACUCUACUAUUUUUUACCAACCCGUAUGUAUUCGAAUGUGCAGUCUACGUUUUGUUGAAUCCUUAAACGUCUUCUGACAAUGAGGACAAGAAUAGGGACGUUCACCUGCAAAAGCAUGACUCUGUUGAAGGGUGCAUUGUAGAACAAAAAAAAUCUGUACCAACCCGUAUGCGAUCGAAUGUGUAGUUUGAGAUUUGAACCAUUGAUAAACGUCUUCAAACAAUGUGGACAAGGAUAGGGACGUUCACCUGUAAAUGAAUGAUCCUGCUGAACGAUUUACUGAAUUGAUCUUUUUUAACUGACCCGUAUGAAUUCGAAAGUGCGCUUUGAGUACGACUCUCGUGGUAAAUGUUUUUUCGCACUUGUCACAUUUGAACCGUUUCUCUCCUGAAAUAGAUUAUGUCAAUAUUUACAUAAUUUUUUACUCAUGUGUAACAGUAUGCGAUCUUUCACCAAACUUUAGUCUGUAUAGCCUUUUUUAUGUGAAACAUCCAAAUCACCUUUUUUUUGUGUAUUCGUUGUUGCAACCGGAACCAACGAAGUAUCAUCGUCCUUCUUGUCCAUCUCUCUGAUGGAGAAUAGCUCAACAUUCUGUCCCUUGAUUUGAGUUUCGGUUUCCUGUUCAAUUUGGACUGUCUCGUUAUCCUCAAUUAUUAACUCUGGCUCCAUUUUGAUGGCAGUCGGUUCAACGCUAGGCAAAAUUAGAAAGCAGUUCUCGGGAAUGUUGUGGACGGUUAUGAGUUCUUGGUUACAUUUUUCGCACAUAGGAUAAGUGCUUAGCUGAGAAGUGAAAUUGCUCAACUUUCGUAGGAUAGUUUUUAGUUUCUGCUCUCCAAGUUGAGCGGAGAUGAGUGCGUGACGAAAUUCCUCAUUGCAUGUAGCAGAGCAGAAGCUGCAUUGGUCACUGUAGAAAUGAAAUUUGUUCGAACAUCAAUAUCAUUUACGAUAAUCGAAUCAAACUGAAUAACAAAUACCGCUUACAAUGAUUCGUUUCCUAAUCAUUUUCUCAAGAAAAAACUUACUGGUUGUUGCUCACAAACGUCAUCCUACUCCUCCAGCCAAAAUUUUUCUAUCCAAAUAAAUUCAACGUGCAAAACCGUCCAAUAACAACGUUGUAAUGCUAAAACUUGUUUAUGUUUCAGGAGCAAAACAAAAUAUCCCUUGUAUAAUAUGCAGGCCGCGGCCAACGAGGUACAUAUAGAGGUGGAGCAGUAGGCGAAGUGUAUCUGUAUUGGCAACCAAAAUAUCGUGUCGUAUUUAUUUGCAUUCAAUAUGGAAUGUAUAUGGAAGAAACAAAACAAUGUUGAAAGUACACUGGAGGAAAACAUUAGUAAAUGCAGCUACCAAAUCUUUAGUAAUCGAAACAUUGGUAAAAUGUACACAUUUUUUGUACAUAUUACCAAAGUCUUGUAAAACUGAUGUCAAAUUCAAUGUACAACCCUACCAACGUUUCGUAAAUUUUACUUCAUAGCAUUAGUAACCUUGAGUAUUUUCAUGCUUAGCAACUGUGUGUGUGCAUUCUCCAUUUCUUUAGUGGAAGUGGAGCGAUUCGGAGAAAUACCACUAUUCCACGUGUCGCUCGCGGUUGUUACAACGUAAGCCACAUCAAGGAGAGCGGAGAGCGUACGACAUGCAUUGUCGAGGAAUGAUGUUUCGAUGUCUCGUCCGACUACGUAGGUGAAUAAGUGGGUAUAUGAAAAGCGCUGAUGGCCCAACUGCCGCUCACAACAAACUUCAACGAAAACGAAAAACUGCAAAGGUUUGUGUGAAUAUUAAUAUUAGAAUAUUAAUAAGAAUAAAAUUAUUUGAACACAGCUUUCGAUUUGAAAAUUUAUUAUUCGAUAAAUAUCGUUAUUACUGUUAUUAUCCCUUUACAAAUGAGGGCCAACAUCUUCAUUGAUAUUGCCCCUAAAUUGAGCCAACAUUGGAUUUACAAACCGUGUUUUGUUUGAAAUUUAUGUCUACCAAUUUGUUUUGGUAGAAUGUACUAAUAAUUAGUAGGGUCGAAAAUGACUAGCGAAUUGGUAAUAUUUACCAAAAAAUUGGUCAUAUAUACUAAAUUUUCCUCUCAGUUUACUCACGGUUGCAUGAAAAUUUGAGCCAAAAUUCUCAUGAAAUCAUUCAACUGGUUGUUUUUUAACAGAUGAUAAUUAUAUCGUGGCUAAUUUCAAUUAUUCAUGUGGUAAAAAAGUCCAGAGAGCAGUCGUAUGCUUAUUUCUCGAAAGCAGUAACAUUUUCGGUGACAUUUUUUAACUGGCGAUUAUUAUCUCACAACAUACACAUCGACACUGAGCACCUUCGAAACAGCAACUUCAUAACGGUAAAAUAAUGAAACUUUGUUUGUUUCUAUGAACGUUGGGGAGUGAAAAUGCCACAUGCAAAUAUCACUCAUAUCCGUCUUUUUCGACGUGAUUUCACAAAUAUUCACUCCACGCUAUUACAUUAGCCUCAUAUUCAGCGAAAGCUCAACUAAAAUGUACUUUUUUAAUUGAUAAAUUACUUCCUGAAAAUAGCAUUUCCACAUGGAUGCGGUGGGCAGUAAAAGAUGUUUAUCUUUUACUGCCCAGAGAACAUACACUUGAACAGAGUGUAUGUUCUCUGUUCACUGGAUACUUCAACUAGAGCGCUGACUGGCAUCGUCUAAAUCAGCUAUAAGCUAUAAGGCGGUGAAAGUGAUGAUGGUUUUAAAUUUUGCCAUGUGAGCUUAUGGAAGGUUUGUAGUUAUUUCAAUAACUUACAAUGUUAUAAUCAUAAAAGAUUAUUUGAUUGCGAUGAGUUUGGAAGAAAUUUAAUUCUGCACAAUUGUAUAUAUAACAUGUUAUUUUCUUACCUCUUUCAGUAGUGAAAAUUGUAUAGUCCAGAAGUACCGGAUGUAAAAUAUACGUGAUUUGUUUUUGAGUUUUAGGUUACCUUAUCAUCAUUUUCUUAGUUCAAAAACAAAAUCCAGAUGCCUCACCGAUCGUUUACGUUUUGCGUUAGAUCGCCAAUUGAAAAAUUCCCCAACGAUUAAUCGAUAAUCGAAUAAAUGAAAAAUUUAGACAUCACUAACCCCAAUGAGUAUAUAUGAGGUGUAGCAGUAGGCAGAGUAUAUCUGGAUUGGUGAUGUGAUGAUGUCAUGAGCCAAAAUGCUCAUGAAAUCUUGUAACUAAUUGUUUUUUAAUAGAUGAUUGUGACUUACUUCCAUCAUUUAAGGAGCAAAAACGUCAGUCGUCAGUCGUUAAAAAUCCCUAAAACAUAAAUAAACUGGUUACAUAUAUUCACAUCAUUGGUACAUUUUCGACAUUGCAUUUUCUACAUUGCAUUUUCUACAUUACACAUUCUAUAAUCAUUGCGUUAUCAAUUCACAAACAAAGAGUUUUGGAGGUAGCAGGUAAGUAUUCUAAAUCUUUCAGAUUCUAUUACACAAUUUUGUUGGUAAAUCUUAAUUUUACUGAUGUACUGAUUUACAACAUAUGCAGUCUACCUAUAUUUAUUUCGACUUCGUAAUUCGUUCUAAAGCAAUAAUUUUAAUCCAUAUAUUUAUCUUUUCCAGCCUAUCACUUGAGCUUGCUGAGCUUGAGCAUGGGUAGACUGUACAAUUCGUAGUUGCUCUCCGUGAUUGACAUGAACCAACUAAAUUGCACAAAGAACACACAGAAUGACGCUUGAGACUAGCAAAUCAUUCUCGUUGUGCAAUUCUCGGUGGUUCGAGCUUUAAAUGGUCAAUAACGACGCCGGCCACAUCCUUACAGUCAUCGGGGGAAGGGAAGGAAUGUUAGUAUGAUAUUCGUCGCCCGAAGGCCAGAAGGGUCGCCUCUAUAGCGUGGUUCCCUAGCGUUUAUCAUGGGAGGGAUAGUGGGAGAGGUAAGAAUCAGGAUUCACUGAGGUAAGUGAUUAUGUUUUAACUGAGGGAAACCAGAGAAGGUAACCGAGAGAACUCCGCUGAAACCAAUCAGACCAGCGAUAUUUUCCAUUGUUCAAUGCGCGUAGUCUUUAUUUAACCCCAAUCGCGGUGAUGGUUGGUCAACUUUGGGAAACCUUAAAAGGUAACCGAGAGAAUUCCUCUACAAUUAAUCGACCCGAUGAUGUGUGAUAUAUUAAGGUAUAUUUCGUUAUUCAACAUGCCCACGCUUCAUAGAACUCCAAUCGGAGAAUUAUCUAACUAUUAAGCGCAAUUAGAUUUAAGUAGGACUAGUAUUUUAGCAUUGACUUCGGACUGUAAGUUUAGUUAGAUAAGCUUUGUUUUUAGAGGCUUUAAACUUUGCAGUUCAUUCGCCUCUAUAAAACAUUUGUCCUUCUCAAAAACUAUCUUUUCCUUUCUUCGAUAUCUUCUCAUUUUCCCUCUUCAUCCUUCCUAUAAUCUGUACCUAUUGACCACAACUGACCAUUUGGCCAGUGUGUAAUUUUCCUGUCGAGGUAUGGUUUCUCCGUACUUUUCGUAUCAUGUGAAAAUCUCUGAAGAAAUCACCUGGCAUUCCUGGUCUCACCCCAACGUAAUUUGACAUAUACUGCAGGUGAGCUACAUUUUUUGUAUUGUACACGAAAAUUACUCACCCAGAUAAAAUAGUAUGCAGAAUCACGACAUUUUGUUGAUGAAAUCUAACGGAUUUAUAAAUUUGGUUGAUUCAAACCCGUUUUCCGGUUAUCUUUUCACACAAAGUUGAACGUGAGGAAAAAACUAAUUAUAAAGUCAUAACUUUUCGCUUCGUUGAACAAAUAGAUGAUCCUCCUGGAAAUUAAUUUACCCUUUCCCGUAUAACAUCGAGUCUCACUCGUCGUGUACUUGCAUAACAUAGGGCGCUAGAACGCUCAGCAGAGUAGUGAAAUCACUUGAUGUGUGACGUAUUAAACAAUACGCGAAGGGGUUUACAUAAAGUAACAUGAAUGAUUCAAGUUCAUCAAACGAUACUGAUAAUUUCUCAUAUGAUAUGAAAGUGCGAAUUGAGAACAUAAAGGAAUAUGUACGGAACAACAUUUUAUUGAUAAAACUCGCGAAAAGUGUUCCUCGAAUUUAAACAAAAACAUAUCGAGUUCCAUGCUGUUAGGUCCAUAGAUGCCAAUCUUCCUGAUUUUUCAGGAAUUCCCAGACUUUUUGACUCGUAUCCGUAUCCUGAUACAAACACUUAUUUUUUUUAAUGAUCCUGAUUUUUCCUAAUUUUUGAGUUUUUUUUUUAUUUAUCCUAAUGAAAAUUAUCCGUAAUAAAUAUACCGGGAUUCCUGUCAAAGUUUUCCUGAUUGGAAAUUAGAACUGUCAGAAUACCCUACAUAGAAAUGCUCUCCGGUCCUCACUUGUAUAAUGAUUGCUCUUUCUUUCGUUGAUUAUUUAUUCCGAAGCGUUAUCGAAGGUACAGUUUCGACAUUUAUUAAAGUUUGAGCUUAUCGUGAAAGAAAAAUUCUCUAUCAUAUUGGCACGCUCGAAUGCAGUUUCAAAUUCUUAUAUUUUGAAUGAAGAUAAUUAUUUGAUGUUUUUUAACACGUAGUGCAUUUGUUCCACCUGAAAAUCCAUUGUGAUUUUUGCUGCACGAUAACAGAAUGCCAUCAACGCCAUUUGAAUGAAUGAUAAUUGAAAAUAAUUUUGCGAGACUUUUUUUUCUCUCACUCCAGAAUCUUACAUCAAGGAUUACAGAGUUAUAGAUAUUUAGUUCAUUUUAUUUGUAUCUUCUUCUUGAAUGGCGUUAACGUUCCCUGUGGAACUUUUGCCUUUUCAACGUAUUUACUAACUAGCGUCAUUUGCUAAUACUAAGUUGAGAUUUCUUUAGCCAAAUAACACGCCUUGAAUGUAUUCCGAGGGGCAAGUUCUUGAAACGCGUGACCACAGUGCAAGUCGAAGGAAAUUUCUUUGACGAAAAAUCCCCCGGCCCGAACGGGAAUCGAACUCGAACACCUGGUAUGAUAAUGUGAGACGCUAACCACUCGACCACGGGUGUACAUGAUUUUAUUUGUAUACAAUAAGUAUAAAUUACUCAAAACCCGUAUAAAAAUAUGUAAUAUUUUCAUACGUACUCAAACACACAUAUAUAUGUUUUGAAAAAAGUCUGACGUCCCUGCAUAAUCUUUUGCACUGUUCUCGUAGUUGAAUUCAUUCAUCGUUCUCGAACCUUCAAGUAGAGAUGUUGCGUUAAACAUUUCAUUAAUUGCGACAUCGAAGUGAUUUUCAUUGGAUUAUGACAUGUAUUGUCGUAGUAAUAGUAUCAAAAAUCACAAUGCAAACAAUGUAUAGUUGCGGAAGCAACAAGCUCCAGUUGCAAGCGGAAGUAUAGCGGAACAAAUUAAUGAAAAUAAUGAAACAAAGAUUUAAAAUAAACAACCUUUAGCUAACUACAAAGUCGGUCUUCACCCGAUGGAAGCCAUAGUCUGUGUUGGAAAAGUUCUGUAUAGUGAGCAUCUGCCAAGUAAUCAAUCGAUAAAUUCCUACAUGUACUGCUCACAAUUGGACAAAUUAAAGGGAGCCAUCCAGGACAAACUUCGUGGAUCAGUCGUUGAUAGACGUUGUCCCUCCGUCAGGACAACACCAAACUUCAUGUUUCGAUAAAUUACACAAUGAAUUAUUUUGGAGGGAGGUUCUAUCUCACCAGCUGAACUAACCUAACUUAUGAUUUCAGAUUAACAUAGGCUCAGGUCUCUGUGAAAUACUUUCAAGGCCAAGAAAUUAGAUUCUAUGAACAGCAUUAAGAUAACCUUGAACAGUUUUCAACGAGAGAACAAACAUGAUCUGGUAGGAUAGAAUUUUUGAGCUGCAUGCAGUUGGCAAAUGUUUGUGGAACAAAACUGUACAUAUAAAAUUGAAGUAAAUGUAUGUAUGCUCAUAAAAAUUAUACUUUUGUUGUUCCAAAAAAUCGGGCCGAUUUUUCCGGACAACCCAAUAUUAAUUAUCGUGAUUUUUAUUUUCACUCUCGCUGAUUUUUGGAAAUUAUAGUUGGCAACCCUGGUUAGGUAUAAAAAAGCGAAUCAAUUGGAACACUAAUGAGUUGUGAAGUGUAUGAAUAUGAUCGGAAGCUCAAUGGUAACGUUAGGAUAUUUUAUUCUUUUCGAUAAGAUUUACCUGUGUUAUCUUUUGUUUUUGUUGGUCUGGAUACCUCGGGGCCUUCUGGGCGAGUAGAAGCAACAGUUUCAAUGACGGAGCUAUUGUUUAUGGACGCUGUUACGAUGCUGGGUUUUAAGUCAGCCGUAUCAGACUGCAGUAGAGAAACGUUGGUAAAUCAUAUUUUCAUUGUGAAUAUAUAGAAAAAAAUAUAUGAAAUCGAAUACAUAUUUCUACAUCAAAUAUGAGGCUUUUUAGGAAGAAAUAUAAAUCAUAAUCGCAUAUAAUAUCAAACAAAGUAUGUAUCGUGUAUAUUUGAAAUCGCAUAAAAUGUAAAAACUCGAUUUCAUAUACCCUUAUCAAAUUAAGUCGCAAUUCGGUAUAAUAAACAUCAAUUUUAUGAUGUACAUUGUCGUAAAAUAUAUUUAAUCCACAUCAUAUGCGUAUAUUACGCUGAUGCAUUUUGUGUGUCGUAUAAGCGUAUAAUUUAAAUUGAUGUUGCAUGCUGAAGGAAAUCAUGAAACAGUAAAUCAUAUUAGAUCCCAACCCAGCAAACAUUAAGUCGUAUGAAUAGCUAUAAUUGGAGGCGAUAUACAUACAACCAAGACACAUUUGUAUGAUAUAUGAUGCAGAUAACUAGCAUAUACACACAAAAGUGGAGGCGAUAUACGUAUAUGCCAUAUUUUGUACGCAUAUAAAGCCGUAUAUAACGAUAUGCGAUGCUUUUUGGACUGAUAUGCGAUUUGAUACGACAACGUUACCACUCAAUCCAUCGAUGACAUGGAAAAUCGUGUUUUUGCAUUUUAUGCGAUUUUAGAUAUAUAUGAUCGAUAUUUUGAUUGAUAUUUUAUGCGAUUGUGAUUUGAUACGAAAUUAUAUGUGACUUAUCAUGUGCAAAGUUAUACGAUUUAAUGUUUGCUGGGAAUAAAGAACAUAUUACAUCAUAUUGAAAUGUCAAUGAAAUGCUGAUGCACUCGAAAUUUUUAACCGCUGUUGAAUUGAAUUUCAGAUAGCCGCGCGAGAUAGCUGGUGGAUGAUAAUCCAGACGACCGGAGUUCGAACCCACAUCGGAGCAGCUUUCACCAAACAUAAAUCUGUGCCAUUUUAAACAUUCAUAUUCCACUCCCAACACAAGUCAAUCAAACAAUUAUUAUUUCUACAAACAUAAAUACUCAUAUAUAAAAAUGGCGAUUCGUGAGGCUAUAACAAACAUUUUACGAAAAAUUUUUGCGCCAUUUGUUUUUUUUCUAUGUCUGUAAUAAAUCAUAUAUGAGUAUGGCAAAA